rnacentral:sRNA from 1 species
UCCCGGAGGAACCCGACAUGUCACUAG